rnacentral:lncRNA from 1 species
UGGGGAAAGGGUGAAUAAUUAAGAGAAGAUAGAGAGAGAUGUGAGUGAGAAUGUAUUAUAAUAUAUAUAAAUAGAAGGUGAGGUAUAACAGGAAAAGGAAUGUGAAGUAGUAACGGUGAAAGCUAAAAAACAAAGGAGGUUAGAGUGGACCAUAGGUGUGGCCAAUGAAGUGUUAAUGUUCAAACAGGAAAAGCAAUGUGAAUAGUACUGUCAGGAAUUCU